GACUUUCCGCUUAUGCGUAGUCGGAAGGACCUGAGCUUUGCGCUUCGAAUAAGUGUCUAAUGUGAUGCCGAAGGCAGCGUUCCGUACUGCACCACGUUCCGGAGGAGCGGGCCGAGAGUCAUUCACCCUGGUCCCCCCACCCACCAGCCCCAGUGUUUGGAGAUAAUACAGGAAUAAACAUUUCCUGAGGGAUCAUGACAUGCCGAGGUUCUCCAGACUGAAAAGCUCCUUGUCCUGUCGGUAGUUUACCAUCUGGAUAAAGUCAGAUGAACCAAACACAGCCAAGAAGAAGUAGCUACGAGGAUCAGAUAAUUGCAACUUCGGGGAAUACAGUAUGCAAACAACUGAGGCAUCAGCUGUAAAGACAAAUCCUUAAACGAUCCUGUGGGCCCAUGAAACAACUCCUGGAUGAACUGGUUGCCCGAAAGGUGCCGGACGGGGGCAAUUUUCGAGCAGGCUGCUGCUGCUGAUUAUUUUUCUUGAAGAAAGGCACAUGCAAGGGCCACAAACAAGCUCCAAGCAGUGUUCCUGUUAACUGCCUAUUUAAUUCUUCAAAAAGCUGAAGAACCUCACCAGGCCACUACUCAACCCACUUCUGCUCCCCUUUUGGAGAUCUUGAAGAUUUCAAUUAGACAAAUUGACAUAAAGUGAGUGAAUAACUCAAUAUAAAAUAAAUUUCCUUCAAGCUACAUA